GACGAACGCUGGCGGCGUGCUUAACACAUGCAAGUCGAACGGUAAGGCUCCAGCUUGCUGGGGUACACGAGUGGCGAACGGGUGAGUAACACGUGGGUGACCUGCCCUGCACUUCGGGAUAAGCCUGGGAAACUGGGUCUAAUACCGGAUAGGACCGCACCGUGAGGGUGUGGUGGAAAGUUUUUUCGGUGUGGGAUGGGCCCGCGGCCUAUCAGCUUGUUGGUGGGGUAAUGGCCUACCAAAGCGGCGACGGGUAGCCGGCCUGAGAGGGUGGACGGCCACAUUGGGACUGAGACACGGCCCAGACUCCUACGGGAGGCAGCAGUGGGGAAUAUUGCACAAUGGGCGGAAGCCUGAUGCAGCGACGCCGCGUGGGGGAUGACGGCCUUCGGGUUGUAAACUCCUUUCACCAUCGACGAAGGGUUUCUGACGGUAGAUGGAGAAGAAGCACCGGCUAACUACGUGCCAGCAGCCGCGGUAAUACGUAGGGUGCGAGCGUUGUCCGGAAUUACUGGGCGUAAAGAGCUCGUAGGUGGUUUGUCGCGUCGUCUGUGAAAUUCCGGGGCUUAACUCCGGGCGUGCAGGCGAUACGGGCAUAACUUGAGUACUGUAGGGGAGACUGGAAUUCCUGGUGUAGCGGUGAAAUGCGCAGAUAUCAGGAGGAACACCGGUGGCGAAGGCGGGUCUCUGGGCAGUAACUGACGCUGAGGAGCGAAAGCAUGGGGAGCGAACAGGAUUAGAUACCCUGGUAGUCCAUGCCGUAAACGGUGGGCGCUAGGUGUGGGUUUCCUUCCACGGGAUCCGUGCCGUAGCUAACGCAUUAAGCGCCCCGCCUGGGGAGUACGGCCGCAAGGCUAAAACUCAAAGGAAUUGACGGGGGCCCGCACAAGCGGCGGAGCAUGUGGAUUAAUUCGAUGCAACGCGAAGAACCUUACCUGGGCUUGACAUAUACAGGAUCGCGCCAGAGAUGGUGUUUCCCUUGUGGCUUGUAUACAGGUGGUGCAUGGUUGUCGUCAGCUCGUGUCGUGAGAUGUUGGGUUAAGUCCCGCAACGAGCGCAACCCUUGUCUUAUGUUGCCAGCACGUUGUGGUGGGGACUCGUAAGAAACUGCCGGGGUUAACUCGGAGGAAGGUGGGGAUGACGUCAAAUCAUCAUGCCCCUUAUGUCCAGGGCUUCACACAUGCUACAAUGGUCGGUACAGUGGGUUGCCAGUCCGUGAGGGCGAGCUAAUCCCGCAAAGCCGGUCUCAGUUCGGAUCGGGGUCUGCAACUCGACCCCGUGAAGUCGGAGUCGCUAGUAAUCGCAGAUCAGCAACGCUGCGGUGAAUACGUUCCCGGGCCU
rnacentral:rRNA from 1 species